rnacentral:rRNA from 1 species
UUUGACCUCAAAUCAGGUAGGACUACCCGCUGAACUUAAGCAUAUCAAUAGCCGGGAGGAA